AUACGUAGGGUGCAAGCGUUAAUCGGAAUUACUGGGCGUAAAGCGUGCGCAGGCGGUUUUGUAAGACAGUGGUGAAAUCCCCGGGCUCAACCUGGGAACUGCCAUUGUGACUGCAAGGCUGGAGUGCGGCAGAGGGGGAUGGAAUUCCGCGUGUAGCAGUGAAAUGCGUAGAUAUGCGGAGGAGCACCGAUGGCGAAGGCAAUCCCCUGGGCCUGCACUGACGCUCAUGCACGAAAGCGUGGGGAGCAAACAGGAUUAGAUACCCUGGUAGUCCACGCCCUAAACGAUGUCAACUGGUUGUUGGGGAUUUAUUUUCUCAGUAACGAAGCUAACGCGUGAAGUUGACCGCCUGGGGAGUACGGCCGCAAGGUUAAAACUCAAAUGAAUUGACGGGG
rnacentral:rRNA from 1 species